rnacentral:rRNA from 1 species
GAUGAACGCUGGCGGCGUGCUUAACACAUGCAAGUCGAACGGAGCACUUUAUUUGAUUUCCUUCGGGACUGAUUAUUUUGUGACUGAGUGGCGGACGGGUGAGUAACGCGUGGGUAACCUGCCUUGUACAGGGGGAUAACAGUUGGAAACGGCUGCUAAUACCGCAUAAGCGCACGGCAUCGCAUGAUGCAGUGUGAAAAACUCCGGUGGUAUAAGAUGGACCCGCGUUGGAUUAGCUAGUUGGUGAGGUAACGGCCCACCAAGGCGACGAUCCAUAGCCGACCUGAGAGGGUGACCGGCCACAUUGGGACUGAGACACGGCCCAAACUCCUACGGGAGGCAGCAGUGGGGAAUAUUGCACAAUGGGCGAAAGCCUGAUGCAGCGACGCCGCGUGAGCGAAGAAGUAUUUCGGUAUGUAAAGCUCUAUCAGCAGGGAAGAUAAUGACGGUACCUGACUAAGAAGCACCGUCUAAAUACGUG